GACACAGAGAGGACACAUUUAAUUGAGCCCGUCAAAUUAAGUGCCAGCCGACGCGGUUAGACUUAAGGGCUGGUCUUUAUAAGUAAAAAGGCGUAAAGGAUGUGUAGGCCAAGAAAUUGUCCAAGAAGGUAAAUGGAAUUUUUCUGGAGCGGUAGAAUGUGAGGAUAGAAAAUAGAACACCUAAGGUUAAAACUAUUUACCACAAAAUAGGCUGAAACAUGAAAGUGUGGGGAGCAAACAGGAUUAGAGACCCUGGUAGUCCACACUGUGAACUUUGAAGAUGAUGCUUAGCAGACCCGAAAGGUAAAAUCUUCCGCCUGAGUAGUACGAUCGCAAGAUUAAAAUUCAAAAACUUUGGCUGUUCACUAUUUCGAUUAGAGGAGCGUGUAGUUUAAUUCGAUGGUCCGCGUGUUACCUUACCCCAGCUUGAAUCUAUGACCGGUAUUGCAUGGCCGUCGUAAGUCCGUGUGUUAAGCUAGAAGGGACCCAAUCCGGGCGUUUGCCCGAAGGAAGUCAGGUCUUAUGAUCCGAAUGUUGGGGGAUUUUAUGCGCUACAUUUUCUUAUAUAAUGAGAGACUUGAAAGGUAAGCCUCUAAAGUAAGAGUUCGGAAGGUCGCUGUAAAACGACUGGAAGUUGGAUUUAAUAGUAAUCGGAAAGUAGGGCGUUCCGGUGAAUUGGUACAAGUGUUAGCACAAAUUGCCCGUCACCUUUACCUAGGAUGGUUAUUCGGACGCCUUCGGUGG
rnacentral:rRNA from 1 species